AGGGAAGUACUGCCACCUUACCUAUUUCUGCCCCAAAGUAGUAAUGGAAGCAUUACUACGUUCUGGUUUUGAAGGGUAAAGGUGCUGGUGAAAUUACAGGCACUUGAGACUUUUCACAUCUCAGGGGUCACCCAGGUGCAGUGGCAGUGCCCUCAGAUCUUUGCGAUUUAAAGUUCGUCCCGUCAUUUGGUGUCAUACAAAAAAAAUCUACGGAAAUAAUUAUGCUAAGAUCCAUCCAUGCACAGCAGUUUCGUGUUACUUAUUUAAAUUGGUCAUUGUGGUCACGUUACUGUUUUUACUGAGGAUAUACAGGUACAGGAAGAAAUCGUGUUAGCAUCCCUACAUUGGAUAGCUUUCUAUAAAGUACCUAAUCCUGUUGUAAUCCUGAUGUAGCAACAAAUGCAAAUACUCCAAUCAGACGACCAGCUGUUAGUAAGCGUUCAAUCUGUCAAGAAAAGAUUACACUAAGGUGGUCUUCAUUCUUGCAAACCGGUUCGUGUUCUAUCUCUACGAAAUGACACUCGCGAAAACAAUUUAGACUCAAGAACUUUUUUACGGAAUUGUCAACGAAUGAAUCUCGGUUUGGAUUUUAUUCGAACCAAAUUCGUGAAAAGAACACCAUGUGUUUCAAGAUCAGAGAAAGCCGCCUUCCCCAUCCACAGGAAGAAACAUUCACCAAACGAGCUAAUUUUGAUAAGAGGCAGCAAGAGUGCACAAAAAUACCGUGACGAGAUCGAAGAAUCUGUAAUUAUCCCACAUAUAGUGCAAUUUGAACAGAACUUUCAGAACAUGAUAACAAUGCCAAUCAGGUAUAAUAAUCACUUUUAAUUAAUCACACACGGCGCAGGUCUUUGGGGAACAUGAUCUAAGCGUUUUCGAAUUGGCAGCACAAUCACCUGUAUGUAAAUUUGUAUCGAUUGAACAUUAACCAUACGUGAAAUUUGCCAUGAUUAACUUUUACAGUAACUGACAAAAUCUUAGAGCAUGGAAAAAAUAAGGAUAAAAUCUUAGAGGAUGUUGGAUUAAGUCGAGUGCACAAGGAGACACAGAUGACAUCUUCGGCAUAAGUCAAUGUUUUCCGGUUAACUAUUAAUUUUACGAUAGCCGCGGGAAGAUAGCGGUGCUACUUGUGACAUUGUGACCAACCCUUUUCCGCAAUCCCAUCAAACACGGCGCAUACGCAAAAUAGAAGAAUAAAAUACAAUACACAAAGACAAGCAUUAUGAACUUUCUAAAAUUACUUAUGCUUAUAACAUUAAUGUCUAUAUUCCAUUAAUUUAAAUACUUUAAUAACAGGCACUCAGUAACCGUCAAAAAUUUUAAAUUAAAUUUUUUGGAGAUAAUACGACUCAAAAUGGCAUUUUAAAAUAAAGUUGCCAUAAUAAUAUUAUAAAGCCUCAUCAUUUCCACAACAGCAUUACAAUAUGAUUACCUAUAUCCUUUUUUGGUAGAGUAUGUCCUCAAUUUUUGCAUACUUUAUUGCAUUAUUGCGAAAAGUAUGUAGAUAUUUAUAAAAGUUAUUUAUAAAUAAUAAUAACAUGUAAAUAGCAUUUAUUUUGGAAAACUAUUAACUCUAUAAUAGGCAGACGAAGCGACAGAAAAUUUUGAGCUAAAUUUGUUUUA